rnacentral:rRNA from 1 species
CGAAGGUGUGCUGUGAGGCAUGCUGGAGGUAUCAGAAGUGCGAAUGCUGACAUAAGUAACGAUAAAGCGGGUGAAAAGCCCGCUCGCCGGAAGACCAAGGGUUCCUGUCCAACGUUAAUCGGGGCAGGGUGAGUCGACCCCUAAGGCGAGGCCGAAAGGCGUAGUCGAUGGGAAACAGGUUAAUAUUCCUGUACUUGGUGUUACUGCGAAGGGGGGACGGAGAAGGCUAUGUUGGCCGGGCGACGGUUGACCCGGUUUAAGCGUGUAGGCUGGUUUUCCAGGCAAAUCCGGAAAAUCAAGGCUGAGGCGUGAUGACGAGGCACUACGGUGCUGAAGCAACAAAUGCCCUGCUUCCAGGAAAAGCCUCUAAGCAUCAGGUAACAUCAAAUCGUACCCCAAACCGACACAGGUGGUCAGGUAGAGAAUACCAAGGCGCUUGAGAGAACUCGGGUGAAGGAACUAGGCAAAAUGGUGCCGUAACUUCGGGAGAAGGCACGCUGAUAUGUAGGUGAAGUCCCUCGCGGAUGGAGCUGAAAUCAGUCGAAGAUACCAGCUGGCUGCAACUGUUUAUUAAAAACACAGCACUGUGCAAACACGAAAGUGGACGUAUACGGUGUGACGCCUGCCCGGUGCCGGAAGGUUAAUUGAUGGGGUCAGCGCAAGCGAAGCUCUUGAUCGAAGCCCCGGUAAACGGCGGCCGUAACUAUAACGGUCCUAAGGUAGCGAAAUUCCUUGUCGGGUAAGUUCCGACCUGCACGAAUGGCGUAAUGAUGGCCAGGCUGUCUCCACCCGAGACUCAGUGAAAUUGAACUCGCUGUGAAGAUGCAGUGUACCCGCGGCAAGACGGAAAGACCCCGUGAACCUUUACUAUAGCUUGACACUGAACAUUGAGCCUUGAUGUGUAGGAUAGGUGGGAGGCUUUGAAGUGUGGACGCCAGUCUGCAUGGAGCCGACCUUGAAAUACCACCCUUUAAUGUUUGAUGUUCUAACGUUGACCCGUAAUCCGGGUUGCGGACAGUGUCUGGUGGGUAGUUUGACUGGGGCGGUCUCCUCCUAAAGAGUAACGGAGGAGCACGAAGGUUGGCUAAUCCUGGUCGGACAUCAGGAGGUUAGUGCAAUGGCAUAAGCCAGCUUGACUGCGAGCGUGACGGCGCGAGCAGGUGCGAAAGCAGGUCAUAGUGAUCCGGUGGUUCUGAAUGGAAGGGCCAUCGCUCAACGGAUAAAAGGUACUCCGGGGAUAACAGGCUGAUACCGCCCAAGAGUUCAUAUCGACGGCGGUGUUUGGCACCUCGAUGUCGGCUCAUCACAUCCUGGGGCUGAAGUAGGUCCCAAGGGUAUGGCUGUUCGCCAUUUAAAGUGGUACGCGAGCUGGGUUUAGAACGUCGUGAGACAGUUCGGUCCCUAUCUGCCGUGGGCGCUGGAGAACUGAGGGGGGCUGCUCCUAGUACGAGAGGACCGGAGUGGACGCAUCACUGGUGUUCGGGUUGUCAUGCCAAUGGCACUGCCCGGUAGCUAAAUGCGGAAGAGAUAAGUGCUGAAAGCAUCUAAGCACGAAACUUGCCCCGAGAUGAGUUCUCCCUGAC